rnacentral:tRNA from 1 species
UAGAAUGAAGCUCGCUGGAUAGAGUGUUUAGCUGUUAACUAAAAUAUUACGGGAUCGAGGCCCGUCGUUCUAG